CCCCGUACACAAAAAUGCACAUGCUGUGAGCUCGAUGAGUAGGGCGGGACACGUGGUAUCCUGUCUGAAUAUGGGGGGACCAUCCUCCAAGGCUAAAUACUCCUGACUGACCGAUAGUGAACCAGUACCGUGAGGGAAAGGCGAAAAGAACCCCGGCGAGGGGAGUGAAAAAGAACCUGAAACCGUGUACGUACAAGCAGUGGGAGCACAGAGCAAUCUGUGUGACUGCGUACCUUUUGUAUAAUGGGUCAGCGACUUAUAUUCUGUAGCAAGGUUAACCGAAUAGGGGAGCCGAAGGGAAACCGAGUCUUAACUGGGCGUUAAGUUGCAGGGUAUAGACCCGAAACCCGGUGAUCUAGCCAUGGGCAGGUUGAAGGUUGGGUAACACUAACUGGAGGACCGAACCGACUAAUGUUGAAAAAUUAGCGGAUGACUUGUGGCUGGGGGUGAAAGGCCAAUCAAACCGGGAGAUAGCUGGUUCUCCCCGAAAGCUAUUUAGGUAGCGCCUCGUGAAUUCAUCUCCGGGGGUAGAGCACUGUUUCGGCAAGGGGGUCAUCCCGACUUACCAACCCGAUGCAAACUGCGAAUACCGGAGAAUGUUAUCACGGGAGACACACGGCGGGUGCUAACGUCCGUCGUGAAGAGGGAAACAACCCAGACCGCCAGCUAAGGUCCCAAAGUCAUGGUUAAGUGGGAAACGAUGUGGGAAGGCCCAGACAGCCAGGAUGUUGGCUUAGAAGCAGCCAUCAUUUAAAGAAAGCGUAAUAGCUCACUGGUCGAGUCGGCCUGCGCGGAAGAUGUAACGGGGCUAAACCAUGCACCGAAGCUGCGGCAGCGACACUGUGUGUUGUUGGGUAGGGGAGCGU
rnacentral:rRNA from 1 species